GCCAGGGACCUCCCUUCUCUGAGCAGCAACUCCAUCUACUUCUCUUUACCGGACAGCCCUGUUGUGGUGCACUCAUUGAGGACUGGAUUGUCGGAGCAGUUGGCGGAGCACUGCCAAAUACACAACUCGGUGGAUAGGAUCCGCCCCUCUGUGCGCCCAUUUAGCAUUGUUGAUCAUCUUCUCACCUACUGCCAUCCUUCUCACUGGACUGAAGGACUCAUGUUUCAUGAGUACCAUCAUAUACCUGAUUCUUUCAAGGAAUUGAGGAAGAACAUCCAGGCAAAAGAUUCACGACUGCGGAUUCCGCGCAUCAUGGGCCAGUGAAAAAUCAAGGUUCUGGAGACAUAUGCCAAAGAAGUGGGGAGAGUCUGAAGCCAUGCUGAGAAAUAGGGGCACCAGCCUGAAUACAACAGCCUAUUAUUCUAAGAGUCUCAUCCGGCCACUACCGGUCUGCAACGUCCGCAGCAGUGUGUCAUAAGAGCAUGUUCUGCAACGUCCGCAGCAGUGUAUCAUAAGAGCAUGUUCGACAGAUGAUGUAAAACGGUUGUUGCAUUUUAAAAAACUGUCAUUUGGGAUACUUAAGCCAAAAAAUUUGCUUCCGCAUCUCA